CAGGGCGCCUUUCGCUGUGGACGCUGACCUUCCGGGAGGAGGGUUUCAUCACCUUAAAUGGCUUUGAACCAAUGAAACUAUUCUCUUAAAAAGACAGACAGCCCAUCGUGUGAACUAGAGUUUGUGGACAGAUUUAUAUUGGGUUCAUAGUGGCGUCAUGCAUGCAGACUCCUGCGAGUUCCCCUAAGUUCUUAGAGGACUGCUUUGCAAAAAGCAAAAAACUGCUUUUUUUUUUUUUUUUUUUUUAUCUGAGAGUUGCAAGGUUCCAUAAAGAAUGGUCCCUUGUGGAUAAGCACAAAGUCAAGAGACAGUGAUUGGACAGAAUUUGUGAAGGUAUCCGCCCCCAGAUCAUGAAGGACCCCCUGCACCCCCGCCCCCUGGUGGCACUGCUGGAUGGCCGCGACUGCACUGUGGAGAUGCCCAUCCUGAAGCAUGUGCAGUCCACGCAGGAAAUCCACGAGAAGGUUCUAAAUGAAGCCGUAGGUGUCAAGAUGUACCACACCAUCACCCUCACCAGGGAGGACCUGGGAAAGUUCAAGGCUCUGAGAGUGAUCCUGCGGAUAGGCAGUGGCUAUGACAACGUGGACAUCAAGGCUGCCGGCGAGUUCGGAAUUGCUGUGUGUAACAACCCGUCUGCAACCGUGGAAGAGACAGCGGACUUUACCAUCUGCUAUAUCCUCAAUCUGUACCGGAGGAACACGUGGCUGUACCAGGCAUUGCAGGAAGGCACGCGGGUUCAGAGCAUGGAGCAGAUCCACGAGGUGGCCUCAGGAGCGGCACACAUCCGUGGGGAGACGCUGGGCCUCAUCAGCUUUGGUUGCACCGGGCAGGUAGUUGCAGUUCGAGCCAAGGCCUUUGGAUUCAGCGUCAUAUUUUAUGACCUCUACUUGCAGGAUGGGAUCCAGCAGUCCCUGGGCGUGCAAAGGGUCUACACCCUCCAGGAUUUGCUGUAUCGGAGUGGCUGGGUCUCCUUUCAUUGCAAUCUCAACGAACAUAACCACCACCUCAUCAAUGACUUUACCAUAAAGCAGAUGAGGCAGGGAGCAUUCCUUGUGAAUGCAGCCCGUGGUGACCUGGUGGACGAGAAAGCCUUAGCACAAACCCUCAAGGAUGGCAGGAUACGAGGGGCAGCCCUCGACGUGCAUGAGUCGGAGCCCUUUAGCUUUGCUCAGGGUCCGUUGAAAGAUGCACCGAAUCCCCUCUGCACUCCUCACACUGCCUGGUACAGCGAGCAGGCGUCACUGGAGAUGAGGGAGGCAGCUGCCACAGAGAUCCGUUGAGCCGUCACAGGUCGCAUCCCAGAAAGCUUAAGAAACUGAACAAUGAAUUCUUUGUCACAUCAGCGCCUUGGUCAGUAAUAGACCAGCAAGCAAUUCAUCCUGAACUGGAUGGUGCCACAUACAGAUAUCCUCCAGGCAUUGUGGGCGUGGCUCCAGGAGGACUUCCUGCAGCCAUGGAAGGGAUCAUCCCUGGAGGCAUCCCAGUGACUCACAACCUCCUGACAGUGGCACAUCCUUCCCAAGCGCCCUCUCCCAACCAGCCCACAAAACACGGGGACAAUCGAGAGCACCCCAACGAGCAAUAGCAGAGAAUGCCAGAAGGUAAUCAUUCAGAUACACUUGGGACCAAGAGACAGUGAAAAAUAGAUGAACUAAGAGA